rnacentral:rRNA from 1 species
UACGUAGGGUGCAAGCGUUGUCCGGAAUUAUUGGGCGUAAAGAGCUCGUAGGCGGUCUGUUGCGUCGGCUGUGAAAACCCGGGGCUCAACCCCGGGCCUGCAGCCGAUACGGGCAGACUAGAGUUCGGCAGGGGAGACUGGAAUUCCUGGUGUAGCGGUGAAAUGCGCAGAUAUCGGAAAGAACACCAACGGCGAAAGCACUCUGCUGGGCCGACACUGACACUGAGAGACGAAAGCUAGGGGAGCGAAUGGG